ensembl:lncRNA
UGCGUGUGAGACGAUUUAUGGCGUCUGAAAGAGGUUAGAGCAUUUAAAAGGUGUGUAUGGAAUAAAGGAGUGUGAAAUAUAUUUCUUCUGUGAUGAAAAGUAGGAUGUGCUAAAGUUUGAAAGUGUUUUUAAUUCAAGAAAACAAAAAAAAAGGAGUUAGAUUAGUUUGAGGAACAGGAAAUAUUGCUCUAUGUACCGGGGCUGCAGCGACAGGAAAUAGUGAACAGGAACUGUGCAUGCCCAUAUAUGGGAACUGAGUGUGUACAGAAAGAACACAGAGAGAUAGAUGAGUUAACUCUAGGCACAUGAAGCAAAUGAAGCCUUUAAGAAAAAUGCAUAUAUUACUAAUUAUAUGGUUUAGUGUGUCAAUACAGGUGGGCGUCUUUCAACUUUGCAACCUUGAGUUCAGCAGCAGAAAAGUAGAUUAAAAGAAUUGGGAGAAAAUAAGCCAGUCUUUGGCUCGAAAUUGUGCAGCUUGAGCUCUUACUUUGUCCUUCACCCGAGAAGACACGUAAAGGACAGUCAAUCGCCUGAUGAAGACCGAUAGAACAUCGUGGACUUGAAUACAGCAGGCAAACGACAGUGCCACUGAUCCAUUAACACUGAUGACGACUGACGACCAGCAGCAGCAUGUAAGAAUACUGCAACAUGUACUGUGAAAAUACAGGCUGGGCAGUUGAACAGUGGGAUAAAGAAUUGUGGAAGAGCACUGGACAUUGAGUGAUAUUUUGCCAUGCUGGGACUUAAUCUGAAAGAAAGACUGUAAAGAAACAGAGAAGAAGACAGCAGCUGAGUUGAGACUGUGUUUGCUGGAGCUUUGAAGCCCGAAUAGGACAUUGUGCAGAGAGGACCAGUGAGAGAUGAAGCUGGACGAGUUUGACUGCGAGAAUAUAGGAUAUAAUUGGAUUGAAAAUUGAAGCCUGAACUCAUGAAUUGUUUAGGGAUGUCCACUACAGCAUAACAAAGAGGGCACUCCGAACCACUUGUCUGAACACGGAGGCCAGUCCAGCCCAGCACUUCCUGAGACUGUAGUUGCUAAAACAGGAUCGGUAAAAAAGACAAAAGCGCGAGGGGUCAGGUAAAGGUGAUGAGUGUCUCAGCAGGAAUAAGGGCAUAGGGUUGAAUUAUGGUAAAGGGUCUACCAGCUCAUUCACAUUUGAUUUGUGUGACGUCAUUAAGUGUACAGGAGCUAGUAGUAGCUGGAGAGCGUAUGAGGUACGGGUCUGCAAUCACCCCAUGAUAUGCUUAGGGUAAAUUUAGUUGAUGCAAAGUCUAAGCCGCUUGCAGAAAGCUUAAUCACCAUUCUGACUGAUCAGAUGGUAACUUCGGGAACAGUAGCUCAAAAGGAACAGGAACCAAAAGGGAGAGUACUUCUGACAACAGAUUACUUUAGACUGAAGCCUAAAGAGUUGAUAAAGCGCGCCACGGGUUUCAAGGACAGUAACCUCUGGCUUGAUUGGGUGGCUCAAGAUGCUAGAGAACAACAUGUAUCUGACUGUGUUGCCUGUGCUUCAGCUAGGUCACGGUUGUUUACAGAGCCUGCACCAUUGCAUUAGAGGAUGAGUGGGGCUAUGAUUGUAUGUUACAGUUAACUAGAAGUGAAGUGACUACUGGCAACUGUACUGUGUUGUCCAGACUUUUCCCUGCCAUUUCAAAGCAGACAGCAGUGGGACCAUUUAUGCUAAAAUUAGAUAAUUACAUGUUUCAAGUUUUCUACAGAUAAUGAAAAGUACAAGGUGGGAGAGAUCGACCCAACUAGGUGUGCUGUCACACUCACAGGACGAACCACCAACAAUGUAAGCGACCCUACCACGGUAAUUGGAACAUGGGCAAGAAGUGGGCUCUACUAAUACUGUGGG